AUACGAUCACCGAAGUUAACCAACGUUGAGCCUGGAUAGUACCUGAAUGAGUGACUUUUUGGGAAUACCAGGUGCUGUAAG